rnacentral:rRNA from 1 species
AUUGAACGCUGGCGGCAUGCUUUACACAUGCAAGUCGAACGGCAGCGCGGGCUUCGGCCUGGCGGCGAGUGGCGAACGGGUGAGUAAUACAUCGGAACGUGCCCAGUAGUGGGGGAUAGCUCGGCGAAAGCCGGAUUAAUACCGCAUACGACCUGAGGGUGAAAGCGGGGGAUCUUCGGACCUCGCGCUAUUGGCGCGGCCGAUGGCAGAUUAGCUAGUUGGUGGGGUAAAGGCCUACCAAGGCGACGAUCUGUAGCUGGUCUGAGAGGACGACCAGCCACACUGGGACUGAGACACGGCCCAGACUCCUACGGGAGGCAGCAGUGGGGAAUUUUGGACAAAGGGCGAAAGCCUGAUCCAGCAAUGCCGCGUGUGUGAUGAAGGCCUUCGGGUUGUAAAGCACUUUUGGCGGGAACGAAAAGGACUGUGCCAAUACCACGGUUCGAUGACGGUACCCGCAGAAUAAGCACCGGCUAACUACGUG